rnacentral:tRNA from 1 species
AUCUUAGUAGUGUAUACAAACACACUUCAUUUUCGUUGAUGAGAAGAAAUCCUUUUUCCUAAGAUA